GGAUUAGAUACCCUGGUAGUCCACGCCGUAAACGAUGUCUACUAGCCGUUGGAACCCUUGAGGUUUUAGUGGCGCAGCUAACGCAUUAAGUAGACCGCCUGGGGAGUACGGUCGCAAGAUUAAAACUCAAAUGAAUUGACGGGGGCCCGCACAAGCGGUGGAGCAUGUGGUUUAAUUCGAAGCAACGCGAAGAACCUUACCAAGACUUGACAUCCCUGAAACUUACUAGAGAUAGUUUGGUGCCUUCGGGAAUCAGGUGACAGGUGCUGCAUGGCUGUCGUCAGCUCGUGCUG
rnacentral:rRNA from 1 species